GACGAACCGUCCAAACGUUGUUCGGAAUCACUGGGCUUAAAGGGCGCGUAGGCGGGUCAUCAAGUCGGGGGUGAAAUCUUUCAGCUCAACUGGAAAAGAGCUUCCGAUACUGGUGGUCUCGAGGGAGGUAGGGGUCGAUGGAACUUCCGGUGGAGCGGUGAAAUGCGUAGAUAUCGGAAGGAACGCCGGUGGCGAAAGCGAUCGACUGGACCUUUUCUGACGCUGAGGCGCGAAAGCCAGGGAGCAAACGGG
rnacentral:rRNA from 1 species